ACCUACGGGGCGCAGCAGUGGGGGAUAUUGCACAAUGGGGGGAACCCUGAUGCAGCGACGCCGCGUGGGUGAAGAAGCGCCUCGGCGCGUAAAGCCCUGUCAGCAGGGAAGAAAAUGACGGUACCUGAAGAAGAAGCCCCGGCUAAUUACGUGCCAGCAGCCGCGGUAAUACGUAGGGGGCAAGCGUUAUCCGGAUUUACUGGGUGUAAAGGGGGCGCAGACGGCGUUGCAAGCCAGGAGUGAAAGCCCGGGGCCCAACCCCGGGACUGCUCUUGGAACUGCGUGUCUAGAGUGCAGGAGGGGCA
rnacentral:rRNA from 1 species